GCCACACCUGAUCACCUAUGUCUCAGCUUUAUAUGUUGAAAGAGAGAGAGGAUGACGUCCUGUGAAUGUGCUUCAAGUCCUUAUCAGCUUGUUACUCUGGAAACGUGGUGAAUCUAUUCCGAGCCUCAGUUUUCUUCUCUGCAAAAGAUGGCCAAUAAUCCUGGAGUUUUGGAUGGUAUGGGGAAGAAGAAAAUGCCUGAUGCAUCCCUGCCCUCCUCACAUUUUUAGAAGAGACAGAGACUUGAUCUACUUCUUAGGAAAGGGCAAGACUGAAAGAAAAUUCAGGUCCAUCUCAGUGGCUCCCCACCACAGGUGGAGAGGCUACUACUAAUCAGACUGAUGCACACUACCAGUGGGUGCCUUAAAAGAACGACAGACUCCCAGCCUCUCUCUUGGCCUGUGGACAUAGACCUGUUUGCCUCACCUGGCAGGUCCAGCCAGGCGUCUUCUCUCUCAGUUCCAGACAAGGCAUCUGACGGUGUGGAUCAGCCAGUUUAGACCCAGGGUCCCUCUAUUUGAAAUUCAGGGCAAAAGGGGUAGAACAAGCCCCCAUUUCAGCUGGAGGAAGUGUGGCUUUUGGCACAGUUUUAGCACCAAUAGAGUUGAUUAUUUUGAUCAUCAUUUGGCAAUAGUUCCUUAUAUCCUUUUUUCAAGCAGAUUUCUGGACAAGAGGAACCCAGUCAGAACCUUUUCCAGAAGUAUUAAGUAACAUAGUAAAUAUGACCGCACCUGCUUUGACACUCCUCCUAUUGACAAGUGAGUCAAUUUCUCCUCUUCUUUAAUCUGGAGGAGCUCUGAGACUGCUUUGACCAGUGGAGCACAUGGCAGAAAUGAUGUUGCUCCAGUUUCUAGGCCCAGACUUUCAGAGACUAGCAGCUUCCACUUCCUGUCUCCUGGAUGCUCAUUCUGGGUUGGGGGGGCGGUGGUGCCAGCAGCUAUGUAAGAAGUCUCACUAUCUGAGAUCACCAUGCUGGAGGAAGCCCAGGUCAACCACAUGGAGACACUGUACAGAGGGAGCUGCUCCAAGAAUCCUCAACUGAUCCAGCCAUCUCAGCCUAGGGGUUGCAGUCAGGUGGCUUUUCCUCCCAACAAAUAUUGAUGCUGGUGGAGGAACUGAUACAAAGUAACAAGAGAAACCACCACCAUCCACUUUGCAGGAAGUGAGGCUUUGAAUCCCAGCGACAUUCAUUCCGCAACAUACUAACCACAUCCUGGUGAUCCCAGCUUCAGAGAGGAGAACACGGGGACUUGAGUUCACUGUUGCGGUGAAGUCCUGCUCUGGCCCCAGGCAGAAGUCAAGAUCAAAGCUCACACUGCAAAUAUUGUGCUGAUUAAAACCAAACUUUCUGCUUUUGAUGUGGGCCAACCUCCAUUGCUGGUAGGAACAAAGGAGGAGUAUAGCAAAAAGAUACUAGCAAUGUUUUCUUAUCCUGGGUUACCACCUACAUUGUUUCUUGGGGAGAAGGAUGCCUGACUCCUACAGAGUAAUGAGACACAAGGAGGGUGCCUGAGCCAUUUCUACAGACUCCAAGAGGUUCUAACCAGCCCAGGUCACUUCCACUUUUGAGACCUGUGGACACGUUAUGAUGUUAUGAAAUGCCAGAGCAGGAUUACCAAAACUCUCACAUAUUUGUAAAUGCUUGUAUUUUGCAAAUGACCCUUAUUUACAACCAAAAUAAAACUUCGUUUGGGAACAAUGUCAAGAGUCUUAAUGUGAGGCCUUUUAUGAAUACAAGGCCUCCUGCUAAAUGGCCCACCUGCUUCCCCCUCAUAAGCCUGGUCAUAUCAGUACCCCCAGGAGCUUGGCACAUGGUUUUCACAUGGUGAAUAAUGAAAAAGUACUUCCUAAAUGAAUAAGUGCACACAUGGAUGAAUAAACAAUCUACAUGUCCUUGGGCUCUGCAUACUUCAUUGGGAAAAUAAUAAGGUGGCAACAGGGUUCUCUAAGAAGCGUGCAGAUUAAAGUUCCCCUCUAUGGUUGGCCAGAACCCAAAAAAUCACCUCACCAAUAGAUCUAAGGAACAGAAAUGAGGCCUUUUAAUUAGAAGUAAGAAUUAACAUUCCAGUUUUAAUAGUAAGCAUCUAAUACCAAUCUUCAACUAGGAUACAUUUCUACCACUAGAUUUAGAACGGGGAAGGACAGAACUUUCCAGGAGCCAUAGACUGGGUCCUUUGAAAGAAUUGCUACUAUGGUUUCAACUGCUGUUGUGUACUUCAUACAUGUUUUUGCAAGGAUUAGGAGGAAAUAGUUGGUUAAACAAAUCCUUACACCAUGGAUAAAUAGGGGCCUCAAAAGACUGACAAACAUGUUGAACUUGGAAAAAUCCCAAGACCAUGCAUCACAAUCUUGACACUACAAGUAUCUGUUCCCCACCCAACUGAGCAGAUGUUAUUGCUCUCAAAGCUCCAUUUUUCAGCCAAUGCCUCCUGCUAGAUUUACCCACUGAGGAUUUCUGAUUGAUAGCUAUAGAGAGGAGAGCCACCUUGAAGUUACAAUUUUUAAAAAAUCAGCCGCUAGAUUUUGGGUUUGAACAUCUCAAAACGAUAGGCCCCUUUCUCCCAAUUUGCCAUGGAUAUGUCCCAAACAGUCUGUGCAAGUCUGUGCUUCAGAUUCACAGCCCUUAGAAAGAGGAAAACAUAACUUGACAUCUACCUUCCUCACUGGCUUCAUGAAGAGGAUUAAUGAGUUCAUAAGCAUUAAGUACUUUGCAAGCCACAGGUGACUGGAAAACAUUAUUAGGACCACAUUUUUCCUAACAAAGUGGUUCAAGCUUUGAACAGAAGGUUAAAUCCCAGGAGAAAUAUCUACUUUUAAUACAGGAAGCUGGAUGCCUACUGUCAGGUAAUAGGAUGCCUGUUAAAAUGCCCUGGGUUAUCCAGUCACUAGUGACAGGGACAGAUUUAGACAAUAUGAGGGCAAGAGUAUCCCCCAAAGCACUGUUGAAAGUAACUGAAGUAAUAAGCAAUUCCAAUUAACAGUGGCAUCUGCAGCAGCAGCAGAAACACUUUGGUUAGACUGAUGUUUCUCUGAACUCACUCCCUUUCUCCAGUCUGAAAACCUUUGCUGUUUUGCAAACCACAGCUCUGUUAACAAUGUCCAGUCAUUUACUUCUGCCACAUCCAAACUUUGUGUGUGCACAAACAUGACCUAGUUGAACUGCAAUAAUUGUAUUUAUUUGAUACAACCCAGGUGGGUUCCAAGACUCCUGUUAGCAGGGAAAACACAAAGUCAUUAAGUUCACUUCGGGCUUAGAUAUGUCUCCUUCCUGUUCCCAGGAACAUUUCUUCCUGAAUCUAUAUUUACUCACAAAGUACAAAUAAUGUGAAAUGGCUAAGCAGCUAAAAACUUACAGAAAGAUCUCUACUACCCCCACAAAAUGAUAUUCUAUUUAUUUCGCAACCCAGGGUGCCUAAAACUCUAAAACAACUUUAGUCACCAAAAAAGGUGGAAACUUCAGAUGCAUUUAGGAAGGCAAUGACCUCUAAAUCAGGAAUCCUGACCUCUAAUUUCAUCAGUGCUCUGGCAUUUCUGCAAACUUUUCAUUUUCAGAACAAAAGGAUUUGUCUAGUAGGACAAUGAGGAGGAGAUUUUAGGAUGAGAAUGGAGGUAGGGAAAACACUUAUAAAGCUAUUGCAGGACUUCAGGAAAGACAUAAUAUGACUGAAAGAAAUUAGUGGUGGUGGGAAUUCAAACAUGGAUUGAUUUCCGAAGAGCAUCAGGCUUUUUGCUAGUAGCUGAGUCUUCAUUGCCAUCAAGAGUCCCUGUCUCUGUGAACACCCAACACACAUAUAAAUAACCUUGACAUAUAUUAACUGCUACAACUGUAGCAUGAAUAAAAUGUCUCAGAAUCACAAGUUGAGAAGCAAUUGAUUGAGACUGGAAUAGUCUAAAAAAACUGAAAAAACAAUGACAUAUUGAAUAGGAUUUCACCUAUAUCAGAAGGAGGGAAAUAGCUUUCUUGGCAGCAUGAUGCAUGCAUCUGUUUGGCAGGCUCAAUGCCUAGUGAGUCAUUUAUUCAUUUAUCCACUCCAUCAUUCAUUUGUUUAUUUAUUCAUUUAUUUAUCAGGCCUCUGCAGUAUGUUAGGCUCCACGUGGGGCCCUGGAUAUAUUAUAUUGAGUAAAGAGCAGUGGGCACAGAUGAAAAAGUAUUGGAUGUCAGGCUAUGAAGUUUCAGUCAUAUCCUGAUAGUCAUAGGAUCUAAUCAAGGAUUUUUGAGCAGGCAAAUGACAUGAUCACCACCUCUAUUAAGUAAAAUAGCUCUGGCCAAAAAUAAACUGUAAGGCUGGGCGUGGUGGCUCAUGCCUGUAAUCCCAGCACUUUGGGAGGUCGAGGUAGGCAGAUCACAAGGUCAGGAGAUUGAGACCAUACUGGCCAACAUGGUGAAACCCCAUUUCUGCUAAAAAUACAAAAAUUAGCUGAGCGUGGUGUUGUGUGCCUGUAGUCCCAGCUACUUGGGAGGCUGAGGCAGGAGAAUCGCUUGAACCUGGGAGGCAGAGGCUGCAGUGAGCCCAGAUUGUGCCACUGCAUUCCAGCCUGGCAACAGAGUGAGACUCUGUCUCAAAAUAAAAUGAAAUAAAAUAAAAUAAAAUAAAAUUGUAAAGUGGAGAGUUAGAAGCUGAUGACUGAGAGCCCAACUGUAGAAGAUAUUGCUGUAAUCUAGAAACAGGAUAAGAUCUGACUAGGACAAAGGAAGAGGGCAUAAAAAGAGGAAUAAAAAUUUGCAAGCUGUGGGUAAAACGAACUUUGAGAGAUAGGCAGGGACAGAGCCGGAGCGUUAGUUUUCUGGCUUGUGUUAAUAGAUAAAACAUUCGUCUGUUACCUAGAAGGGAGUUUGACAGGAGAGUGAAAGAUGAUAGUUUUGGUUUGAGGUAUGUCACGUUUGAGAAAUUUCUGGGUCGUCCAUGUAGGAACAUCCAGUGGACAUGCCUGAAGUUCGGGAUAGAGGCAAAGGCUAGAGAAAGGGAUUUGAGGGUUGUCUGCAAAAAACAAUAUAAUAUAUCCACGUAGGGCUCUAGAUAUAUUACAUUGAGUAGAGACCGGUGGGGGCUGAUGGAAAAGUGGUGGAUGUGUUGCAAAAAAGUAACAGUGGAUGACACCUGAUUAAAAGCCUAUUGAUGACAUAUAAGGAAUGAUGAUCUAGUUAAAAAAAAAAAAAAAAGAUCCGUGUCAGAGCAGGAGAACCAGGAAAGAGUGCUAUCACAAAGCCAACAAGGCAAGAAAGAAUUUCCAGAAAGAGGGCUGGUAUGCAGCAGAAAGUGCUGAAAACACAACUCCUUCUACAUUUCUUUUCACCCCACCACCAAAUUGGCUUGCCUCAUUUGCAGACAUAUCCUUGAAUAUCUCUUCUUAAGCUAUGCUUUAAUAUUUAUCUGUGACUAUUGCAUAUACAGUAGCUAAAUAUGAAACUCCAUUAACAUCAGUGUUUUCUGACUCCACUUUGGUGAGUCAUUCAACGUAAUCAGGACUUAGAAAUGAGCAACAGAUGUGUCACAUUCUUUGAGCAGUGCUCAAAGAAACCCAAAAUGGUCAACAUGUAAACUUUUCUAAAAUAUGUUUUCCUGACAUUAUGGAUGAUAAUGAGGUUUUCUAAAUUAUAAGUCAAAGCCAUUUACUUUAUAGCAUUUCCAGAAAAAUCUGAAUUGCAGAAAUGCCAUGUUUCCAAGAAACAGUAAUGGUUUCAACUCUGUUUUCUCUCUUAUGUCUUACUCUUUGGAUAACCAAUAGCAAAUUUCUGGAAGGGGAAAGCUGCAAAACCAAAUCAAACUGGCACCACAAAUGAUCAACUGACAUCUUCAUAGCAGUUUAGUUCAUGUUUAAAAUUGAAGAAUAAAGCACCAUACCUG
rnacentral:lncRNA from 10 species